AGCUUUGUGGUGUAUAACACGUUGGAUUGCAAAUCCAGAGAUGGAGGUUAACGCCUCCCGGGGCUU
rnacentral:tRNA from 1 species